UUUGGAUUAUUAACAUUCCGGUCCAAUCAUGACAAAAAGAAGGAUUAUUAUUGAUUUUUCCAUUUUUUAUAGAGAUCUUUUGAAAUUGCCAUUUUUACUAAAAUCUUACGGAUAUGCCAUUUUCUAAGAUUUAAAAACAUAUGGAUUUCGGACUUUUUUUGAUAAAAAUACGUAGUUUACACAAAAUACUAAACUCUAAAAACAACCAUAACCAACUAAACCCAAACAUAAUGAAUAAAACGCAUGUUAAAUCUUAUUUUGGUAACUUGAAAAAUGGCAAAAUCCACAAACUAUUCAAAAAAGGGCAAAAAUCCACAAAUGUCAUCCAAAAAAAUGGCAUUUUCAUAAUUGAUU
rnacentral:sRNA from 1 species